CCGUGGUGCCCCGCGGCGAGCGGCGGCAGGAGCGGCCGCGACUCCAUCCGGGUCCCGGCGCGGCUCCGGGUCACCCCGCCGCAGGGAGUACUGUACGCUGAAUGUGAAACAUGAAAAUGAUUCUUCUGUCAUGUAACAUACUCUCAGUCAACAGGAUCCAGAAUUAACGUGUCUGCAAAAGGUGAGGUCAGUUUGCAUACUGUAAAGAAAUUCACUGGCUUAUUUUUCAAUAAUCUCUACUUCCAGCAUCUUUAUGUAAAUAAAUGUGCAUGUAUACGUACUUACAAAGUAUUUAUAAAAGCUUAAAAGCCUCCAGAGGCUUUUCUUUAGUCUGGUUUGUCAAGUGAAAUAGUCUCUGCCGUGGUCGUGCCAUAGUAAGUAGUAAACCUUUUUUAUGCGCUGGAGCACUAAUUAUGCACCGAUUUGGACAGAUUACAUCUGCUUUUUUACUUGUCUUUAUUAAACAGUAAGCUACUUCUCUAAUGUGAUUACUAAUAGUAUUUUUUGAAGUGUUGCUGUAUAUGGAUACAGCAAGAGGCAAUUGGUGUAAGUCACUGAAAUACGUUAACAGUACUUAUUUUUGACUAGCGUAGAAAGAAUUAAACUAGGCCUAUGAACCAUUCAUUUAUAUAGUCUAAGUCCAGAACUAAAGAAUUAUGAUCACUUACGUAUAAAUGGCUUAUUACAGAUGUAAAAAUUUGAGAAGAUGCUGCAAUUUGCAUUAUGUUCAUUCUUUGUUCAUUAAUCAUGAUCACAGACUUUACUUUUCUGCAGAUCUGCUUCAUUCCGUGCAUGAGUGGUUAGCAGGGACUUCAGAUUUCUUUCAAGCUGUGGUUUUUGGAUAUCUAUAUUCUUUCUGUAACUGUAUGAUCAGAAAAAUAAAUGAAAAUUAAACAUAAUUGAAAAUGGAACAAACCAGUAAUAUUUCACGUUACAAUUAUUUAAAACCAGGAUGCUUUAUAUUAAAGCAAUUAAACAUAAGUGGGGAAUAUAGAUUUUGUGAAAAGCUUUGUCUAGUGUCUCAAUCAGGAAUGUCAAAGAUGUUAUUGAUGACAGAGGCAUUAAUCUUAUGCUGCUGUAUGAAAAAUACAAAGAAAUACUGUAGUGGAUACAUCUCCCUUUCCAGCUGCAUUGACUUUGCUGCUGCUCAUGCUUGGAGUUUGAGCCCACCUAUAUCUUAGUAUAGCGGGCACUGGAACUGCUCGUGUUCUUUUCUCCCCUCUGUAGAAUUUGCCAGUUCAAACGAGUAUUCUGGUAUUGUUUAGUUACACUUAAUCCAUUGUAUUGCUGCUUAAUUGACUACCGUGUCCAAAUAAAGGAACUAAAUUGUAAGUUUUGGAGAACUCCUGAGAAGGCCUCUGGCCUGUCGCUUGGCACGGCUUCCGUUCUGAUUAAACAAUGUUUACUUUCUUGGUCAGUGCCUUGUUUCACUGUAGGUGAAUUUACGUGGCAUAACAAAAAAAACAACGCCCUUCACCUGUUCAGUUUCAGUCUUCACAUAGUUUUAUUUUAUUUUAAACUUACAGCUUUGACUUUUCUGCUACAUUUAAUUUUUAUCUUCUGAGUUUUAAAGUUGAAAUUAAGCAUUAGAAUCAAAGUCUAUUGUAACAAGCCACUUAUGCAUUUACAGUUGCAAAAUGGUCUUUUCCUUUAAGGAGGUACUAUAGCAUUCAUUAUAUGCCUCAAAGCAUCUGUUUAUAUCACGUAUAGAUGUCAGUAAAGGAUAGUUAGGGUAAGAAGUAUUGGUUUUACAAACAUGCUUUCUGCUUUAGGUUAUUUCUCCUGUGCUGUGAAUUGGACAAAAUCAAGUUAGAAGAUAAAGAAUUUGUCAGGAGUUUUUUUCCUAUACAGUUUAGGAACUUUUCAGAGGUUUCAAGCACGUAUGGGUAGUUCA